rnacentral:lncRNA from 1 species
CUUUCAAUUUAUUUUGAGCCCCAGAGCACUUUAGCCCACAGUGGUGAGGCUUGCAAAAACUCAAGUUCUGACUGCUGGCAUUGGCAGUUUCCCUCUGGCUAAGGGUGGUUGAAAUGCAUCCUCUGUGGUCUGGCGUCAGCUGAGUUUGGUCCAGUUUUUCUUUCUGCUAUAACAAGGGCAGCACUGAGUUCAAUGCCUCACAGUUGCUGGCUCUCCCUCUCCCCAGGGCACAGAAACGCUCUUCAGACCAUACUCCUACUGCCAGGGGAUGGAGAAGGCAUGGUGUCAGCAAUUCAAGACUGUUUUUCCUACCUCUUCAGUGUCUCUUUCGGCAAAAUGAAGUGAAAAUCAGGAACAAGAUGUCUCCAGAGUUAAAUACAUGAAUUAAAUGCAAUUUCAAUGGAUGUCCCAAUGUUUUAAAUUGAAUAACAUGACUUUAAAGAAGAUAUGGGAAACUUCAACUCCCAGAAAAAUGAAGUAGAUACAUACUUCUCUAUUCCUUCCACUAAGUACAACUGAAAACCGUGACACUAUAUAUAAAACAAACAUAAGAAGACUCUGAAAGGCAAGAAUGGGUUUUCUUUUGCCUCCUUUAUUCCAGACUUGUAACUGAAGAAGCCAUCAACCAAGAAAUUUCCAACAGACCCAGAUGGAAAAAGUCCCAGUGAAAGCCUGUUCUUUAGCCAAAGGGGCCAGAAAAGAGCAAGAUAGCAGGACAAGAUCUCUGCCAUCAUGUGAGAGAGAGCCUGAGUUAGCCUGCUGGAUGGUCAAAGAUGAGUGGUGCAGCUAAGUGAAAGCCUGCUGACUUGUAGACAUAUGAGUAAGGCCAUGCUUGAUCACCUGGCUGCCAGCUGGCCUGCCAACUAAUUGCAGGUACUUGAAAGAGUCCAGCAGAGAUCAGCCACCCCAGGUCAAAUAAACACCCAGCCCCCUCCCUGAGAAUGAUGAACUAAAUAAAUGUCUUAAGUACUAAGUUUUGGGUGUUUGCUACAUAGCAAAAGCUAAUUGAUACUGUUCCCAAGGAGUGGAAAACUUCUGUAACAAAAAACAAAAAAUUCUGGCAUUGGUUUUGGGAUUGGGCAAUGGGUAGAGGCUAGAAAAAUGGCAAGGAAGCUGCCAUAGCAACCUAGAAAAAUGGCAACCCAUGCUAUAAAAUAGGGCAAUUGGUCAAUAAUUUUUGAAGUGGUUUGUUAUGCAGCAAUAGCCUACUGAUACACCAUGUGAAUUAUAGCAAGGAAUAGCUAAGGCAAAACAAAACAUUGGAUGAGUAGCAUAGUUCAUUCUAAAGAACCACUAAGGCUUGCUCAGGAAUAUGUACUAAUUCAGGUGGCAUCUGUUAACUAUCACUGAGCAUAAUAUUGGAGGAUAAAUCUGCUUUGCUUAUUGCCACCCCCGUAGCUUAGAAGCUACUCCUAAAACAGCAAGGAUGUCACUGUGGCAGUGGGCAAGGAUUAAUUCCCUCAUUUAUUUAUUCAUUUAUUAAUUCAACAAA